GCUGGGCGUGGUGGCGUGCGCCUGUAGUCCCAGCUACUCAGGAGGCUGAGGCAGGAGAAUCGCUUGAACCCAGGAGGCAGAGGUUGCAGUGAGCCGAGAUCGUGCCACUGCACUCCAGCCUGGGUGACAGAGCGAGACUCCGUCUCAA
ensembl:misc_RNA Metazoa_SRP Metazoan signal recognition particle RNA